GGAGAGGUGGCCGAGUGGUUGAAGGCGCUCCCCUGCUAAGGGAGUAUGGGGUGAUUCCCAUCGAGGGUUCGAAUCCCUCCCUCUCCGCCA
rnacentral:tRNA from 1 species